UGCUAAUUCAAAUCAGCUUUGAAUUAAUGAGUAAAUUGGUGAGACCAAACACCUGUUCUUUGAGGUUUCCCAGAAAUUCUAUAACUUCCCUGCAAG